UACGGUAGGGUGCAAGCGUUGUCCGGAAUUAUUGGGCGUAAAGAGCUCGUAGGCGGUUUGUUGCGUCGGCUGUGAAAUCCCGAGGCUCAACCUCGGGUCUGCAGUCGAUACGAGCAAACUAGAGUGUUGCAGGGGAGACUGGAAUUCCUGGUGUAGCGGUGAAAUGCGCAGAUAUCAGGAGGAACACCGGUGGCGAAGGCGGGUCUCUGGGCAACAACUGACGCUGGAGGAGCGAAAGCGUGGGGAGCAAACGGG
rnacentral:rRNA from 1 species